rnacentral:rRNA from 1 species
UACGUAGGGUGCAAGCGUUGUCCGGAAUUAUUGGGCGUAAAGAGCUCGUAGGCGGCUUGUCGCGUCGGCUGUGAAAACCUAGGGCUCAACCUGGGCCUGCAGCCGAUACGGGCAAGCUAGAAUUCGGUAGGGGAGACUGGAAUUCCUGGUGUAGCGGUGAAAUGCGCAGAUAUCAGGAGGAACACCGGUGGCGAAGGCGG